rnacentral:rRNA from 1 species
UACGUAGGGACCAAGCGUUGUUCGGAUUACUGGGCGUAAAGGGCGCGUAGGCGGCGUGGUAAGUCAAUUGUGAAAUCUCCGAGCUUAACUCGGAACGGUCAAUUGAUACUGCUGUGCUAGAGUACAGAAGGGGCAAUCGGAAUUCUUGGUGUAGCGGUGAAAUGCGUAGAUAUCAGGAGGAACACCUGUGGUGUAGACGGCUCUCUGGACCGCAACUGACGCUGAGACACGAAAGCGUGGGUAGCAAACAAG